GUGAAUAACGGGCACAACUGUCGAAAGGCAGUGUCGCAAAGCUAUAGGGGCUUCUCCUUCCGGCCGUGACCAGGGAAAGCCAGCCAGUUGUCUGA
rnacentral:ncRNA from 1 species